rnacentral:tRNA from 1 species
GCCCAGGUGGUGAAAUUGGUAUACACGCAUCCUUGAGGUGGAUGUGCCGCAAGGCGUGGAGGUUCAAGUCCUCUCCUGGGCACAA